UCUAUUUCACGUAAAACUCAAAGCAAAACCUCCCCUUGCAAACUCACGCGAACCAUCAACCCAUUCUCCUUCUCUCCUCACUGCCGUCAUUACUACUGCUGCCCAGCCGCCACCACCGCUGCGCUUCCUCCUUCGUCGUCCCUCUCCGUCGCCGCCGGACCACCACGCGUCGGCAACCAGCCGCGCCACCGCCGCUGCUCAGCCGCGGACCUCACUUCCUCUUUCCUUUCUCCUUCGCGCAAGUACUCCUCUUUGCUUCUUUCUUGCGCACAGCCACUGUGCUGCCACCGCACCACCACCGAGCGCAACCACCACCUGCUCGGCUGCACCCAGCCGCGUCACCCAGUUCUCCUGACCAACGGCCGCUGCCGCGCCUCCCUUGCCGCCGGCCAACAUUCCUUUGAAUCUUUAAUUGGUGGAGAAUUCUCCGUAGACGACUUUUGAAUUGUUAAAGUGGUCUCGCACUUUGUUUACACAAGACCCAUUUUGGUGAGCAGUCUCUAAGGAUCAAUAAGCGUUGCCCACCUAAAGGUUUGAAGAUGAUGCAUCAUUGGGAUCGGGAUUAGAGAGCUUGUAUUGAAUUGUUUUGCUAAGUGAUUUGGUUUGUUAAAUUGGACUUUAAACUUGUCGUACUAGCUACAUCACUUUUCCAAAAAAAUACUCCACUAUCAACUAACACCCAUUAAAUUAAUAAGUCAAUUCAAGUGUUUUAAGCUCCGCACCGGUCAAACUGGUGCGAGUAUUAGGGGGCAGAGGGAGUAUGAUGCAAGAAACGUUUCGAAAUAUCUAAACUUCGAAAGGCGUUUCGAAACGUCUAAACUUCGAAACACGUUUCGAAAUGUCUAAGAAACGUUUUAUUUCUGUCGAAACAUUUCGUAAUUCUGAACAUUUAAAAUAGGCUGGGAAACGCGGUUUUCGGAAAUAAGACUCUUACAACCCCCAAUUCCCAAUGAUACAAUUCAUAACCUAGGUUCC